CGGAUGUUGUACACUUUACAGCUUGAAGUUCUUCCGCUUUCAUUCACCCGCCAGCUACUUCAAAGCAAGCGAACUAACGAGUAAAUGUUUGUUUUUACAUUCGGGGUUUCCCUGAUAAGUAUUGAUAUCUAGCAUUCAUUUAAUUGCCGUCAUCAUUUGACGGCAACAAUGUUUCGUGGUUUUCACAAUCCCGGAGAACUUCACCGGGGCCCUGCUCCCUUAGGCCACCCAUCCCAUGUACAGCCACCCGGUCCCAGCUACGGAGGGCCCUUUGGCCCGCCACCCCACGUUCCACUGCCUGGACACUUUCCUCCUGGAUCUUGUCAUCCUUUCUUACCUCCCGGAUCGGGAAGUGAAUACCUCCACAGGCCAAUGAGGGAACAUUAUAUCAAUACUCCACACUGCAGCAGUUAUUCCAUUGACCGCAGCACAGUGAUCAGUCUGGGUAGUCAACAGAUUCUCCCACCAGACACACAGCAUCUUCAGAUGCCACAGUGGCCCACCAAUCCUUUGGAAUCAUGCCAAAGAGACAAGAGUGAGAACUUGACUGCUGGUGAAGAAUUCCUCAGAUGCCUUGCGGCUAAUAAGCCAGUCCCUGACUUCCUCAAAGGAGUCAACCUGUUGGACGCAGGGAAGGUAGUCAAGGCACCAGGUGUACCAGAAGACCGGGGUUAUGAGAGGCAGAGACUCCGGAGCAAAUCUCGCAGUCCAGCGAAGGAAAGCAGGGGCAGGAGCAAGAGCCGAGCAAAGAGCCAGGUCAGAAGCAAGAGCAAGGCUCGUAGUAGGAGCCGGAGCCGAGGGAAAAGUCGGGCAAGGAGCAAAAGCAGAUCAAGGAGUAGGAGUCGCAGCUAUGGAAAGAGCCGGGGCAGGUUGGACCAUCAUUCAGACCACAGGGACAAAAGGAGCCCCAUUCGGAGCAGUAGCAGCAGGAUCAGUAAUCACUCCUCCGCACACAAUGACCUGCUCGAGGGCCUGAAACGGGUUAUGAACAGCAAGCAACUGGAGGACAGUAUGCCUUCCAUCAAGAAUGCCAUUCUCACAAUACAGGCCAAUAACUUUAGCAGAGAUAUCCAGAGCAACUGUCUUCCAUGUGGACCAGUCUUGGCCAGCAGACAGGAAUUUCUUCAAGCCUCAGAUGGGCCUAAGCCAGUCAGCAGACAGGAGGAGACCGACAGCAAUCUUCUCCCCCACGAGAGAGUGGGCUGUGACUUCUCCUGGCUGCAGGGCACCAGGGAGGUCUCACCUGUUCAGAAGCCGGAGGAGGUCGAGGAUGAGGAGAACUUCCUCUAUGGGAAUGAGGAUAACCAGUCAAAACAACGCCCUGCCACCCUGCCUUUUGCACAGUCCACAUCCAUUACCCAGCAGAGCGAUGCAGAGAUCUCCCCAGCAGGCCCACCCUACUAUCAAAGCCAGCCUCUGUUCGGGAACCAUGGUGAAGUCCAGGAGUUCAAGAUGCCUCCUCAACCGGUCCAGUCUAGUGUGAGGCCUGAGCAGAGGGUGCAGCCUGUUCCUGCUCCUGAUGUGAAGCCCACCCCCACUGUGAAGGAAUGUGAGGAGUUCAAGGCCAUGUUGAAGAACAUUGGGCUGAAUCUGGGCACAUCAGAGAUCAGUAAGAUGAUGGUCAAGCUGCAGCAACAGAAGGAGGGGAAGAUGCCAGAGCAGAAGAGGGAGGAGAAAGUGCCAUCACCAGCACCAGUGCUGCCUCUUCCUCUUGUAGUUGGGGCAUCACAGGAGCCCAGACUGGCCUCGCCAGCACCCGGGGCAGCACUCGGGACAGCACCAAUACGACAAGCAUUGGAGUCAUUACAGUUCAUUAUUAAAGCAACAAGGGAGAAAAGGGCCAAUAGUGAUCCACAUGAUGGCAACCAUUCCCAGAGGAAUUCAGACAAACAGAAGAGCAAAGAUGACGAGGAGAGUCAGAGGAGAUCGAGACAGGACCAAAUGAAAAGGAAAGACACUCUUGUGAAGGAACUGGAGGAAUUGCUAAAGCAGGAUGGGUCUACCUUUUUGAUUCCGGUCAUCGGGUUCUACUGUCAGAGGUGUGAGGAGUUCUUCGGAGACCUGACCACUGCUGAGGGCCAUGCUGCAACCCACCGGCGGAAUGAGCCUAGCAUGCAGCAGCAUGGAGACAGACGACCUGGAGAGGACAGAAGACACCCUAGCCAUUACAUCGGGCACCCCCUGGCUCCAGAGCGGAGGGACCAGAGAGACCCAAGAGAUCAGAGGUAUCGCAAACUAGACGAGGGCCCAAAGGGUUACAGGAACGACAGGGAGAAGAUCUACGUGAAAGAGGAACGACCUGGAAGCCCCAGGAUAAAGAUGACGGUGGUCCGCGGGCACACCCCACCAGGUCUGCAGAAGGCCAGGGGGAGAGAGGAGGGGAGGGUGGAUAAGGGCUCUUGUGCUGCUUCCUCUGGCCCUGCCAGUGGGAAAUAUGAUAGGGUCAAACUGGAGGAGGUGGAGACCAAAGGAAAGCCCAACGUGGAAGUAUGUGACAAAGAUAAAGGAGAAAGCAGUUCUAGCAGUGAUGACGAGAAAGACAAAUCUCCUAAAGGCAACAAAAAGAAAAAGAAGAAGGAGAAGAAGAAGAAGAAGAAGAAGAAGCAAAGGGGUUAGAAGUAAUAGCUGCUGUACUGCAUGUCCUGGUUUGAUUGUACUGUAUCUCUGGAGGACCUGGCCUUGGGUCAUUGUUUGGCAUCAUUGCAGCUGUUUUCAGAAGUUGGUGCUUUUAACAUUAGAAAGAAGCAGUGUUCCUCUGAUUUGUUCUCUCCUUUUGGGGUUGUCUUUUUUUUCCAACAAACUGUGUUCCUCUGUUGUAGUGGAUAACAGGACAUUUUCAUUGAAUGCUGUUGGAGGACAGGACGUUCCAGGGUGCAUAUGCAGCAUUUAUGAUGUCCAGAAUCAUUUUGCUGCCAGCUACUGAUCCUAUUGUUCAGACCUUUAGUUACUGUAGAUGUGCAUUAAAUAACCCUCCUUAUAUUGGGCCAUGUUUGUGUAUAUUUCACCCAGUACAACCUUGAUUUAGUGCUUCAAGUACUAUCAAAUGUACUUUUGCCAUUUAAAGGUCAACUGCCAUUUGAAGCGUGUGCUGUCUUUCUUCCUAAUGUUAAACCGUUGAGAUGGAAUUAUUCUGUAAUGAAGAAAUUUUUAUACAUUGUCCUCUUAUUUAGGUCUCAGCAAUUGAUGGCGCAAGGCUAUUUGCAAGCGCACAUGUGCUUGCCAAAGUCAUUGGAUCCUAUCAGGAUAGGAACAGUUGACAUGUUUUUGUAAGGUGAUCACUUUUUUUUUUUUGUCUGCUGUUGCUCACUCUCACUUCCUCUUUCUCACACACUAGGCAUUUCCAUUGAUCCAGGUUUAUUCGACAAAAGCAAUGUCAGGGGAAAAAAAUAUUCUGCCGUGUAAUAGAAACGGCAGAUAUAGGAGACAUUUUAAAGCUCGACAACAUUUUUAUCCAUUCGAUAGGGUUCUAUUUUUCUUUUGUUGAACUUUCUUUACUGCAACUAAU
rnacentral:lncRNA from 1 species